rnacentral:tRNA from 2 species
GUUGAUAUAGCUCAGAAGGUAGAGCACAUUCUUGGUAUGAAUGUUGUCGGCAGUUCGAUUCUGCCUAUCAGCA